AAUUUCAUAAGAGCGUAUGGUGGAUGCCUUGACACUAAAAGACGAUGAAGGACGUCGCAGGGUGCGAUAAGCCUCGGGGAGCUCCCAAGCAAGCUUUGAUCCGGGGAUUUCCGAAUGGGGAAACCCAUCCAGUUUUACUGGAUAUUGUAUACUGAAUACAUAGGUGUAUGAAGAAGACCUAGGGAAGUGAAACAUCUCAGUACCUAGAGGAAAAGAAAUCACAGAGAUUCCCUUAGUAGUGGCGAGCGAAAAGGGAACAGCCCAAACCUUAUAAAUGUUUUUACAGAAAGUGUGAGUCGCAAGAUUUUCAUGACUGUAGCUUAAAGGGUUAGACCGUUGUUUAUAAGGGGUAACAAGAUGUAAGCGCCGGCCCUCUAACGGGCUGGGUGAACAGUUUUCUUUCCUAGUGGAAAGUUCUGGAAAGAACUACCAAAGAAGGUGAUAGUCCUGUACGCGAAAGGAGUCAACUAAUCAUAGCUUAUGUUCUUAAGUAGGACGGAACUCGUGAAAUUCCGCCUGAAGUCGGGCCGACUAUGGUCCAAGGCUAAAUACUUUUAGUGAUCGAUAGUGGACAAGUACCACGAGGGAAAGGUGAAAAGCAGCCCGGAGAGGGCGAUGAAAUAGUAUCUGAAACCGUGUGCUUACAAGGAGCAGGAACCCGCAAGGGCGACUGUGUUCCUAUUGAAGAAUGAGCCUGCGAGUGUGAUGUGUGUCGCCGCUUAAACCCCUAUGGGGUGGAGGCAAAGCGAAAGCGAGUCUUAACGGGCGAUUAUGGUGGCACGCACAUAACCCGAAACCGGGUGAGCUAUCCAUGGACAGGAUGAGCCCCGACGAAAGUCGGGGGGAGGUCCGUACUCACGAGCCGUGCAAAACUCGGAGAUGAUCUGUGGAUGGGAGAGAAAUUCUAAUCGAACUCGGUGAUAGCUGGUUUUCCUCGAAAUAGCUCUAGGGCUAGCCUUGAGUGUUCCUAUUGGUGGUAGAGCACUGGAUGAAGAUUGGGUCCUUCGGGAUACCGUCUUCAAUCAAACUCCGAAUGCCAGUAAUUAAAAACUCAGGAGUCAGACAGUGACGGCUAAGCGCCAUUGUCGAAAGGAGAACAGUCCUGAUCGCUAGCUAAGGUCCCCAAAUUUAUGUUAAGUGCACAAAAAGGUGGUUUUAACUCUUAUACAACCAGGAGGUUGGCUUAGAAGCAGCCAUCCUUUAAAGAA
rnacentral:rRNA from 1 species